GCCUACGGGGCGCAGCCGUGAGGAAUAUUGGUCAAUGGGAGAGACCCUGAACCAGCCAAGCCGCGUGAGGGAAGACGGCCCUAUGGGUUGUAAACCUCUUUUGUCGGAGAACAAAACCCGGGACGUGCCCCGGACUGCGUGUAUCCGAAGAAAAAGCAUCGGCUAACUCGGUGCCAGCAGCCGCGGUAAUACGGAGGAUGCGAGCGUUAUCCGGAUUAAUUGGGUUUAAAGGGUGCGAAGGCGGUCCGUUCAGUCAGCGGUAAAGUUGCGGGGGU
rnacentral:rRNA from 1 species